rnacentral:rRNA from 1 species
UACGAAGGGGGCUAGCGUUGCUCGGAAUGACUGGGCGUAAAGGGCGCGUAGGCGGCUCAUACAGUCAGGCGUGAAAUUCCUGGGCUCAACCUGGGGACUGCGCUUGAGACGUGUGGGCUUGAGUGGGGAAGAGGGUCGUGGAAUUCCCAGUGUAGAGGUGAAAUUCGUAGAUAUUGGGAAGAGCACCGGUGGCGAAGGCGGCGACCUGGUCCUUGACUGACGCUGAGGCGCGAAAGCGUGGGGAGCAAACAGG